GCUGGAAUGGCCGAGUCGUUAAGGCGAUAGAUUUGAAUUUCAUCAUAUCUAUUACUCUCUGAGUGCGUAGGUUCAAAUCCUGCUUCCAGCG
rfam:Lentinula edodes NBRC 111202 DNA, contig: scaffold33.